AGUGAGCGCUGGCGGUAGGCCUAACACAUGCAAGUCGAACGGCAGCACAGUAAGAGCUUGCUCUUACGGGUGGCGAGUGGCGGACGGGUGAGGAAUACAUCGGAAUCUACUUUUUCGUGGGGGAUAACGUAGGGAAACUUACGCUAAUACCGCAUACGACCUACGGGUGAAAGCAGGGGAUCUUCGGACCUUGCGCGAUUGAAUGAGCCGAUGUCGGAUUAGCUAGUUGGCGGGGUAAAGGCCCACCAAGGCGACGAUCCGUAGCUGGUCUGAGAGGAUGAUCAGCGACACUGGAACUGAGACACGGUCCAGACUCCUAAGGGAGGCAGCAGUGGGGAAUAUUGGACAAUGGGCGCAAGCCUGAUCCAGCCAUACCGCGUGGGUGAAGAAGGCCUUCGGGUUGUAAAGCCCUUUUGUUGGGAAAGAAAAGCAGCAGGUUAAUACCCCGCUGUUCUGACGGUACCCAAAGAAUAAGCACCGGCGAACUUCGU
rnacentral:rRNA from 1 species